rnacentral:rRNA from 1 species
UGCCUAACACAUGCAAGUCGAACGAUGAAACCGCCCUCGGGCGGACAUGAAGUGGCGAACGGGUGAGUAACACGUGACCAACCUGCCCCUUGCUCCGGGACAACCUUGGGAAACCGAGGCUAAUACCGGAUACUCCUCGCCCCCCUCCUGGGGGGCCCGGGAAAGCCCAGACGGCAAGGGAUGGGGUCGCGGCCCAUUAGGUAGUAGGCGGGGUAACGGCCCACCUAGCCCGCGAUGGGUAGCCGGGUUGAGAGACCGACCGGCCACAUUGGGACUGAGAUACGGCCCAGACUCCUACGGGAGGCAGCAGUGGGGAAUUUUGCGCAAUGGGGGAAACCCUGACGCAGCAACGCCGCGUGCGGGACGACGGCCUUCGGGUUGUAAACCGCUUUCAGCAGGGAAGAAAUUCGACGGUACCUGCAGAAGAAGCUCCGGCUAACUACGUGCCAGCAGCCGCGGUAAUACGUAGGGAGCGAGCGUUAUCCGGAUUCAUUGGGCGUAAAGAGCGCGUAGGCGGCCUCUCAAGCGGGAUCUCUAAUCCGAGGGCUCAACCCCCGGCCGGAUCCCGAACUGGGAGGCUCGAGUUCGGUAGAGGCAGGCGGAAUUCCCGGUGUAGCGGUGGAAUGCGCAGAUAUCGGGAAGAACACCGAUGGCGAAGG